rnacentral:rRNA from 1 species
AUACGGAGGGUGCAAGCGUUGUUCGGAAUCACUGGGCGUAAAGGGCGCGUAGGCGGGUUGGCAAGUCAGAUGUGAAAUCCUACAGCUUAACUGUAGAACUGCAUUUGAAACUGCUAACCUAGAGUAUGGGAGGGGGGGAUGGAAUUAGUGGUGUAGGGGUAAAAUCCGUAGAUAUCACUAGGAAUACCGAAAGCGAGGGCGAUCUCCUGGAACAUAACUGACGCUAAGGCGUGAAAGCGUGGGGAGCAAACAGGAUUAGAAACCCUAGUAGUCC